rnacentral:miRNA from 1 species
AACGUGGGAAGGCUUGAUCUA